rnacentral:sRNA from 1 species
CUUUAGCCCUGAUGGUAGCGGCAUCCUAUUGUGCCGGUGUUCGGCGCAAUAGAUAUAGCGUACAACAGGAGGAGUC